rnacentral:rRNA from 1 species
GAUGAACGCUGGCGGCGUGCCUAAUACAUGCAAGUCGAGCGAACGGACGAGAAGCUUGCUUCUCUGAUGUUAGCGGCGGACGGGUGAGUAACACGUGGAUAACCUACCUAUAAGACUGGGAUAACUUCGGGAAACCGGAGCUAAUACCGGAUAAUAUUUUGAACCGCAUGGUUCAAAAGUGAAAGACGGUCUUGCUGUCACUUAUAGAUGGAUCCGCGCUGCAUUAGCUAGUUGGUAAGGUAACGGCUUACCAAGGCAACGAUGCAUAGCCGACCUGAGAGGGUGAUCCGCCAAACUGGAACUGAGACACGGUCCAGACUCCUACGGGAGGCAGCAGUAGGGAAUCUUCCGCAAUGGGCGAAAGCCUGACGGAGCAACGCCGCGGGAGUGAUGAAGGUCUUCGGAUCGUAAAACUCUGUUAUUAGGGAAGAACAUAUGUUUAAGUAACUGUGCACAUCUUGACGGUACCCAAUCAGAAAGCCACGGCUAACUACGUG